rnacentral:rRNA from 1 species
CGAACGGGUGAGUAAUGCGUGACCAACCUGCCCCAUGCUCCAGAAUAGCUCUUGGAAACGGGUGGUAAUGCUGGAUGCUCCAACUUGACGCAUGUCUUGUUGGGAAAGUGUUUAGNGGCAUGGGAUGGGGUCGCGUCCUAUCAGCUUGUAGGCGGGGUAAUGGCCCACCUAGGCUUCGACGGGUAGCCGGCCUGAGAGGGCGGACGGCCACAUUGGGACUGAGAUACGGCCCAGACUCCUACGGGAGGCAGCAGGG